rnacentral:lncRNA from 1 species
GUUGAUACAGUGGAAGGCUUGUGGUGUUGCUGGCCCUUGAUCGCUGGAAGGAUUCCGAGCCAUCUGCACCCAAACCAGAUGCCAAAAUAACCAGGGAAGCCCAAGAGUGACGGGGCCCAAGACCUUCCGCUACACCUCCCGUCGGACAACUAGCCAUAUCUUCUGAGAAGCCUCAGAUAACCCUUGACAUGACAGGAAAAGGACAACAACCUGUGUGGGUUCCCUCCCGACAACUGAAAUUGCACCAUAACUCCCAAGAAGAAACACUCCCAGAAACAAAAGGCAAAGACCCCUCUGAAACCAAAGAGCAAGUAUCACCGCCUGACACAUAAACUUCAUGACCUCGACAUUGAGACAAAAUCUCGCCGUGUGACCUACAACACCACUCAUUUAACUCCACCAACUUGGGGUCAAAUAAAGGUCUUAUCCCAUCAACAGAAAAAUCAUUAAGAGAAAAAUGAAUCCCCAAAACGACAGUCUGCAGAUCCCGCAAGGAAUCCGAAGACAAGUCCAAAGUCAACGACAAGCAAUGAUGGCAAUGGUGAUCCUAGUUAAUAAAAAGCGGGGAGAUGUGGGUGGCAAGCCACCCAGGUGCCGAGGCAAGAGACCGAGAGCACGAGCUGUUCCAGUGUAAUAAAAUAUAUAAAAUAACAAGAGUUAUACUGAUAUAGCUCAUAGAUAUGAUUAUAUAUAAAUACCAUUAAUCAUUAGUUUGUAGUAAUUACUCUUUAUUCAAAUAUUAUAAUAAUCCUCACUCUACAAUCAUAACCUAGAAAAAGGCAGGCCAUGCAGAGAUAGGAGCUGAGGGGACAUGGUGAGAAGUGACAAGAAGACAAGAGUGUGAGCCUUUUGUUAUGCCCAGGCAGGGCCACCAGAGGGCUCCUUGGUCUAGCAGUAAUGCCAGCGUCUGGGAAGAUGCCCGUACCAAGCGGACCAUGGUCUAGUGGUAGCGUCAGUGCCAAGGAAAAGCACCUGCUACUGAGCAGACCAGGAAAGGGAGUCUCCCUUUCCCCAGGGGAGUUUAGAGAAGACUCUACUCCACCAUCUCUUAUGGAGGGCCUGACAUAAGUCAGGCCUGCCUGCAGUUAUCCAGAGGCCUGACCGUCUCCCUGUGAUGCUGUGCUUCAGUAGUCAUGCUCCUGGUCUGCUUUCAUGUUCCAUCCUGUACACCUGGCUCUGCCUUCUAGAUAGCAAUAGCAGAAUUACUGAAAGUAUUAAAAGUCUCUGAAAUGCAGAAAUAAUGGUGUAAGCUGUCUCUCCUCUCUCUCCGCCUCGGCUGCCAAACAGGGAAAGGCUCCCUUUCCAGUGGAUGCAUGACCCACGUGACCUUACCUAUCAUUGGAGAUGGCUAACACUCC